AGUAUACCGAAACGGUUGUCCAGGGUUCCAACCUAACCGACCGAGCCCAGUCCUGGCUCGAGUAGGUCAGUAACCGAGGCAGGGCCCAAGUUCAGCUUAGAGCUUACAACAUGCACAAGUAAUCAAGUAAUUCGGCAAAAGGUAAAAUUCAUCAUUUGAGUAGGUCGAGUGAGGUAAAGUAUACACUCGCCUAACAAUGAUGGACAACUUCAUAUAACAUGCGAUUCAUGAUAAUCAAGUGAUCAAGUAAGUUGGUGAUCACGUAAGCAGAUAAUCAAGUAAGCAAGUAGCCGAAUGGAUUAGAAAACGGUAAGUAAACACGGUAAACGGUAAACGGUGGUAAUUACGGUUAAUUGGCAGACAUAUGUCAUUUUAAUAGGCCACCAUUGGCCGAUUUUCACUUUUUCCACAUAAGAGUCGAGGAGAUUCACUCCAACCGACUUAUGCUGUCAUAGCAUAAUUAAUCAUUUAAACACAUCAUGUAGAUAUGCUCUCCAAACAUUUCAUAUCUAGUAUUUCAAGUAAUCACAUAAAUAUGCUCUUUAAGCAUU
rnacentral:lncRNA from 1 species